GUCGACUUAGCUCAGUUGGGAGAGCGCUAGACUGAAGAUCUAGAGGUCCCGGCUUCGAUCGCCGGAGUUGACA
rnacentral:tRNA from 1 species